UGAAACAAGGAGGUUUUUGUUUUGUGGUA
rnacentral:piRNA from 1 species